AAAGCAUGUGCCAGACGGCAGACAACCACAGUUUCUGCAAAAUGACCUUGGUAGAAAACAGCGGUUUUAAGCCACGUAGCAAGUGGUUGAAACCAAAUUCAGCAUGACCUUUAAACGCCCUUGGAAGACAGCCGUACUCUGCCAACCAUGCGGAGUGUUAGGGUCGGCAACGCGCAUGAAACUCCUCUGGAGUUGCAGGCGUACAUAGGCUACGGAGACUGCUUACCAUCAGGCGGGCCGUAUGCUUGUUUGCCACCGACGUAGUAUAAAUAUAUAUUUAUAUGUAUAUAACUUUUUUUUUUUUUUUCAGUCUGAUGAACGCGACAACCGCCAGAUUAACAUCAAUAAUUAUUACGGGCCGGAUGGGGGACGGGUCAAUGGACAACAG